rnacentral:rRNA from 1 species
UUCCGGUUGAUCCCGCCGGAGGUCACUGCUAUUGGGAUUCGACUANCCAUGCGAGUCGAGAGGGUUCGGCCCUCGGCGUACGGCUCAGUAACACGUGGAUAAUCUAACCUUAGGUGGAGGAUAAUCUCGGGAAACUGAGAAUAAUACUCCAUAGGUCUAGGAUGUUGGAAUACACUUAGACCGAAAGCUCCGGCGCCUAAGGAUGAGUCUGCGGACUAUCAGGUAGUAGUCAGGGUAAAGACCUGACUAGCCUACGACGGAUACGGGUUGUGAGAGCAAUAACCUGGAGAUGAUAUCUGAGACACGAUAUCAGGCCCUACGGGGCGCAGCAGGCGCGAAAACUUCGCAAUGUGCGAAAGCACGACGAGGGAAUCCCAAGUGCUUGCUCGUAAGAGUAAGCUGUUUUUAUGUCUAAAACGCAUAGAGAGUAAGAGCUGGGUAAGACGGGUGCCAGCCGCCGCGGUAAUACCUGCAGCUCAAGUGGUGGCCGCUAUUAUUGGGCCUAAAACGUCCGUAGCCGGUUUGUUAAAUGCCUAGGUAAAUCGUGUAGCUUAACUAUACGAAUUCUGGGUAGACUGGUAAACUUGAGACCGGGCGAGGCUAGAGGUACUCCUGGGGUAGAGGUGAAAUUCUGUAAUCCUAGGGGGACCACCAGUGGCGAAGGCGUCUAGCUAGAACGGGUCUGACGGUGAGGGACGAAGCCCUGGGGCGCAAACGGGAUUAGAUACCCCGGUAGUCCAGGGUGUAAACGCUGCUUGCUUGAUGUUAGUUGGGCUUCGGGCCCAAUUAGUGUCGGAGAGAAGUCGUUAAGCAAGCUGCCUGGGAAGUACGGCCGCAAGACUGAAACUUAAAGGAAUUGGCGGGGGAGCACCGCAACGGGUGGAGCGUGCGGUUUAAUUGGAUCAACGCCGG